rnacentral:lncRNA from 1 species
AAAGAGAUCAGAACAGAGUGCGUUGUGAUCAUGGGAUUUUCUACACAUAUACAAAGAGCGAUCACUAAAUAUUACUAUUACUCAUCUCACAAACCUACACCAACUCUAAACAAAUAGUUCAAAUUAUAUCCUCCGCGAGAUAGCCAGAGCAACUUGCAACAACUCAUUUCUUUCAGUACGGAAGUCCUCAACAGGACUAUUGGCAGAGGAAGAGGAACAAUUGGAUGAAGAUGGAGAUAUUGAAGCCUUAUUAGUAUUCUUCUUCUCAUCUUGAGCUUGUUUCCUCAUAUGUGUUCUC